AAGGCUUUCGGGUUGUAAACCCCUUUCAGUUCGGGACGGAAGCUUACGCCGGUGAAUAGCCGGCCGGAGUGACGGUACCUUCACAAGAAGCACCGGCUAACUACGUGC
rnacentral:rRNA from 1 species